rnacentral:rRNA from 1 species
GAUGAACGCUGGCGGCGUGCUUAACACAUGCAAGUCGAACGGAAAGGCCCAAGCUUGCUUGGGUACUCGAGUGGCGAACGGGUGAGUAACACGUGGGUGAUCUGCCCUGCACUUCGGGAUAAGCCUGGGAAACUGGGUCUAAUACCGGAUAGGACCACUUCUUGGAUGUUGUGGUGGAAAGUUUUUUCGGUGUGGGAUGAGCUCGCGGCCUAUCAGCUUGUUGGUGGGGUAAUGGCCUACCAAGGCGUCGACGGGUAGUCGGCCUGAGAGGGUGUACGGCCACAUUGGGACUGAGAUACGGCCCAGACUCCUACGGGAGGCAGCAGUGGGGAAUAUUGCACAAUGGGCGCAAGCCUGAUGCAGCGACGCCGCGUGGGGGAUGACGGCCUUCGGGUUGUAAACUCCUUUCGCUAGGGACGAAGCGUUUUGUGACGGUACCUGGAGAAGAAGCACCGGCUAACUACGUG